GAACUUUCUGCUAGUUCUCUAAAGGAAUGAAAAUAACCUUGGGUUCUCACUAAGCAUCAAUUCUGUGACCGGCUCUGUGGGGUAGAGAUGAAAAGGCUCACUCAGUUCCAGCCCCUGCAGAGCCCCCAGGACCCUGGCGGCAGCAGAUCUAUGAGCCCACAUUUCCCCACCCUUGUGAGGAUCACACCGAGAGAGACAUUCACAUCCUGGCCUCACAAAGAAGAGAUGACAAAGUGGAAAAAGGCUGGAGUCCCCAACCCUGAGCCCUUUACCCUGCUUCAGUCCUUUAUAACGAGGUGUGUGUGCUUGGGCAAUGCCUCUCUCUUCUGGGACUCAGUGUACCCAUCUCUGCUGUGGGUAGGUUGGACUAGAUGAGAGUUUCCCAAACUCCAGUUGUUUCUUUCCCUCCCUCCACACCUGGAGAUCAGAACACCUGUACUAAAAAGUACUGAAAAUCUUUAUUCAAAUGAGCUCACUUUUUUUUCAACCAAAAUAAACUUAUUUUAGA
rnacentral:sRNA from 1 species